AAGGUUUUAGCUUAAUAAAAGUAUCUGAGUUGCAUUCAGAAGAUGUGAGAUAGAGUCUUGCAAAUCUUA
rnacentral:tRNA from 1 species